UUUUUACUCCCUUCAUCCGGAAACAUUUGUCGUAGAAAUGGAUGUAUCUAGAUAUAUUUUAGUUCUACAUACAUCAAUUUUUAUCCAUUUAUGUGACAAGUAAUUCCGUACAGAGAGAGUAUUAG
rfam:Triticum urartu cultivar G1812 contig214694, whole genome shotgun sequence.